GUGAUCAUGUCGUCCAAUUUCGCGGUUUUUUCUUCACUACUGUGUUCACGACCAUUCGGAUAUUUGUGAAAUCGAGACAUUGCCCAGGUUGGUUUUCUAUCGAGAGGGACUGAGGGGAAAGGCCGGCCAGCCAACAUCAAAAGAUUGUCCGGAUGAGUGACAGGAAUGUUUCACAGCCUCUCACCAGUUAUGACCGAUUGGUGCUGUUCGGUCCAUUUCGCCCACCGUUCCAUAAAAUACGAUCAGCUCAUCAUGGCAGGGGCGGCGGAAUAUAAUCAAGAAACACACGGCAUGUAUAGAAGGACCCGAGAGAGCUUUCGGGGAGGGAGGAGGAGAAGGGAUGAAGAGAGGACAUCCACAUCCACUGGUUUAAACGCGCUAUUUGGAUGGCUAUUGGUUUGUUUGUUGCUGGCCGUGAUUCUGCUAGAGCGGACCGCUUCGUUACUGCGUCUAAGGUUCACCCAAUUAAGGUUUUAAGGCGGGGACAUCGUAGAUGCAAAUAAUAAAAUAUCAAGGGAGAAGUUGACAGGAGAUUUCACUUGAUGGACCGUGACCUAUUCUAACGAAUACUCACGAAGAAAGACUCAAUAAACUUGAUUACCAGCAUCAAGUAGCCAUGAAAUUGUUUGUUUUUAUGAUCCUCGGAAAAACCUCGUGCAUACCAUUGCGUUCACUCCACACAACAUGCUAAAUUCAAAGUCGAUAUUGGUCGGGAUUAUGUUGAUUCACUGCAUGACUUGUAUUCCAUCAACAACCACUGAACGAUCCAGCGAAGGACAGAAAGAGGAUCAAGAGAUCCAGGAGCAACGCCAUCACCAAGGAUACAGUGGAGGAUACGGGGGCUAUGGCUACGGAUUACCAGUCUAUGGAGGGCCAGUUUACGGAGGAGGCUACGGCGGAGGGCACUACAAUAAUUAUUACGGUAAUGACUAGAUAAGUGUCAACAGACCGUACAUAAACAAAGCGUUUGACGCAUUUCAUUAACGUUCUUAGGUUACAACGGUUACUACCCAUUUCUUAGUUCCAAUAUGAUUGCUGCUGAAUAUGGAGCGGGAUAUGGCACGGGAUAUGGUGCUGGAUAUGGUUCCGGAUAUGGUCCCGGAUAUUUCAAUUACCCAUCGGGAAAUUACGGAACUUACGGCUAUCACGGUUAGAUAGCCAUAACUGCACUUGCACCUUUUAACACCUUUAAAUUUACCCCCAAAUUUUAUAUACACAAAUGGAUCAUGUAAUAUGACAAUAAAUUUGAAUUAAAGGCACA